UAAAAGCUCGUAGUCGAAUUUGUGUCUCGCGCCGUCCGGUUCAUCGUUCGCGGUGUCAACUGGCGUGCCGCGAGACGUCCUGCCGGCGGAUCGUUCGCAAGAACGGUCCAACUGACCCCGCCGCGGUGCUCUUCAUUGAGUGUCGAGGUGGGCCGGCACGUUUACUUUGAACAAACUAAGGUGCUUAAAGCAGGCUGAAAUUUUGCCAGAAUAUUUUAUGCAUGGAAUAAUGAAACAGGACCUCGAUUCUAUUUUGUUGGUUUUCGGAACCUCGAGGUAAUGAUUAACAGGAACGGAUGGGGGCAUUCGUAUUGCGACGUUAGAGGUGAAAUUCUUGGAUCGUCGCAAGACGGACAGAAGCGAAAGCAUUUGCCAAAAACGUUUUCAUUGAUCAAGAACGAAAGUUAGAGGUUCGAAGGCGAUCAGAUACCGCCCUAGUUCUAACCAUAAACUAUGCCAGCUAGCGAUCCGCCGACGUUCCUCCGAUGACUCGGCGGGCAGCUUCCGGGAAACCAAAGCUUUUGGGUUCCGGGGGAAGUAUGGUUGCAAAGCUGAAACUUAAAGGAAUUGACGGAAGGGCACCACCAGGAGUGGAGCCUGCGGCUUAAUUUGACUCAACACGGGAAACCUCACCAGGCCCGGACACCGGAAGGAUUGACAGAUUGAGAGCUCUUUCUUGAUUCGGUGGGUGGUGGUGCAUGGCCGUUCUUAGUUGGUGGAGCGAUUUGUCUGGUUAAU
rnacentral:rRNA from 1 species